AUACGGGGGAUGCAAGCGUUAUUCGGAAUCAUUGGGCGUAAAGGGCACGCAGGCGGUUCUGUCAGUCAGAUGUGAAAGCCCGGGGCUUAACCCCGGACGUGCAUUUGAAACAGCAGGACUUGAGUAUGGUAGAGGAAAGCGGAAUUCCUGGUGUAGAGGUGAAAUUCGUAGAUAUCAGGAGGAACACCGGUGGCGAAGGCGGCUUUCUGGACCAAAACUGACGCUGAGGUGCGAAGGCGUGGGUAGCGAACAGGAUUAGAUACCCCGGUAGUCC
rnacentral:rRNA from 1 species